GGGAGCAAAAGUAAGGGCGUAUGGUGGAUGCCUAGGCAUGAGAAGGCGAUGAAGGACGUUGCGUGUCUGCGAUAAGCGUCGGGGAGGUGACUAGCAACCUUUGAUCCGGCGAUGUCCGAAUGGGGAAACCCAAUUUACAGAAAUGUAAAUUAUUCCGAGCAAUCGGAGUGCAAACCCGCUGAAGUGAAACAUCUCAGUAAGCGGAGGAAAAGAAAACAAGGAAGUUUUUUUGUUCUUGCAAGCCGACUCCGACGAAAAGUCGGAGCCCCGACCUCUUUUUUUAGAGCGUCGGGGUAGUGGGCGGGCAGGAAUAAAAAACUUCAUCAUUCCCUUAGUAGCGGCGAGCGAAAAGGGAACAGCCCAGAGCAUUUUUUAUCUAUUGAUUUAUCAACGGAAUAAAAAAUGCAGUUGUAAGUUUAGAUUCGUUCGGAGUAAUCCGGGGAGAGUGUAAAAAUUAAGACUUCGUUAGCAGAAGACGCCUGGAAAGGCGCACCAAAGAAGGUAAUAGUCCCGUAUGCGAAAACGGUCUUAUGCUCUCUGAAUUUUUACUUGAGUACCGCGCCGUAUGAAGACUGCGCGGGAAACCGGGAGAACUAGAUUCCCAAGGCUAAAUACUUCUCAUGACCGAUAGUGAACAAGUACCGUGAGGGAAAGGUGAAAAGCAGCCCGAUGAGGGCGAUGAAAUAGUCCCUGAAACCAUAUGUUUACAAGGAGUCCGCGUCCCGCUUUUAGCGGGACCAGGACGUGCCUAUUGAAGAAUGAGCCAACGAGUUUUUGGAUUUUACUUCGUCUAGAGGCUUACGGCCUUGAGGCAAAGGGAAACCGAGUGUUAAUAGCGCGUUUAAAAUUAGUGAGCGUUCUCGCGAGCAAUCGCGGGAGAGCUCAUUGAUUUUUAGGUAGAAUUCAAAAGACCCGAAACCUCGUGAGCUUACCAUGAGCAGGGUGAACUUCGAAGAAAUUCGAAGGGAGGCCCGAACCGGUUGGUCGUGCAACGCCUUCGGAUGACUUGUGGUAAGGAGUGAAAAGCUAAUCGAACGAGGAAAUAGCUGGUUCUCUCCGAAAUAGUUUUUGGACUAGCGUCGGAUCAUGCACUUUUCGAGGUAGAGCACUGGAAGGUUCGGAGCGGGGAAACUCGCCCGAACCUAUCAAACUCCGAAUGCGAGAAGUGUUAUUCCGGCAGUCAGCAGGCCGGGGCUAAGCUCGGUCGUGCGCAACGGAAACAGCCGUUGAUCGUCAACUAAGGUCCCCAAAUCUAUGCUAAGUGUAAAAGGUAGUGAAGAUUCUUAUACAUCGAGGAGGUUGGCUUAGAAGCAGCCAUCCUUUAAAGAGUGCGUAACAGCUCACUCGCUUAGGGUCUUUGCGCCGAAAAUUUAUCGGGGCUAAGCAUAGUACCGAAGUUACGGAUUUGUUUUUGCUUCGGCAAAAACAAGUGGUAGGAGAGCAUUUCCUGUGCAGUGAAGGUUCACCCGUGAGGGGGACUGGAGCGCAGGGAAGAGAGAAUGUUGGCACAAGUAACCGCAAAUCUAGUGAAAGUCUAGAUCGCCGUAAACCCGAGGUUUCCUUGGCAAUGGCAAUCAUCCAAGGGUGAGUCGGUCCUAAGGCAAUGGCGAAAGCCGCAGCCGAUGGAUAAGCUGGUUAAUAUUCCAGCACUCGGCCUGAUGGGAUGACGUGACGAAAGAUAGUAUCAAGAACGGAUUAUUGGAUUUCCGCUCGUACUUUAAGGGAUGCUACAUGGCAAAUCCGGUAGCGGGACCGCAAGGUCCGAUUCCAAGAAGCGCGAAAAUUCCUUUCUUCGGAUUGGAAAAUUUUUGAAAGCAUCUUUCCCAGAAAAACGUCUACCUAUAGUCAGGUUGAACCGUACCGAAAACCGACACAGGUGGGUUGGUGUAAGUGCACCAAGGCGAACGGGUGAGUCCUCCUUAAGGAACUAGGCAAAAAAGCAGCUGUAAGUUCGCAAUAAAGCUUACCCCCACCAAUUAAGUUAUGAAAAAAGCCAGCAGGAGCUGGCGUUAGCGAAUCAUUAUUUCGUCUGGAGCAUCACUUUUUGGAUACUCCAUGAUGAGUAGAUAGUCACCCGGAAAGUGAUGACAUCCCCGCUGUUCUACUUUUGAUUUCUGCAGUCGAAAGAUGCGCAAUUUUAGUCUAUCCUCUUCAUUUUCAGGAAUGAUUUUGAUUUUCUUUUCCGUGACUUCUAUUUUCAUUUGAACCUCCCCAAAGAACUUGAACGUAAAUUAUCAUAAGAGAGAUUCAAAUGCAAGCAUGCAUUCAUUAUUCGUAAUUUAAUUGGUGGGGGUCGCAGCGAAAGAUUCUCUGCCGACUGUUUAUCAAAAACACAGCUCCCUGCUAACUCGCAAGAGGAUGUAUAGGGGGUGACGCCUGACCGAUGCGAGAAGGUCAAGUAUUUCUGUAGUGGUACUGCGAUUACAUCAAUGUGUUACCGCGUGAGAUACCAAGCCCUCGUCAAUGUCAGCAGUAACUAUAACUGUUCUAAGGUAGCGCAAUUCCUUUUCGGGUAAGUUCCGAAGCGCACGAAAGGCGUAACGAGUGGAGAACUGUCUCAAGGAGGAGCCCGGUGAAAAUACAGUACCUGUGAAGAUGCAGGUUACCUGCAGUUAGACGAAAAGACCCCGGGAGCUUUACUGUAGCUUGAUAUUGAGUUUAGAUUUUUACUGCGUAGCAUAGAUGGGAGGCUUUGAAAUCCUGUUUCUGGAUGGGAUGGAGCCGUCAGUGAAAUACCAUUCUGUGAGAAUCUAUAUUCUAACCAAUUGGGAACCUCGCAAGGGGAAGCCCAAUUGAGACAGUGUUUGGUGGGCAGUUUAAAUGGGGCAUUUUCCUCCUAAAGAGUAAUGGAGGAGUUUAAAGGUCGGCUUAGCGCGAAUGGAAACCGCGCUGGACCUGUAAAGGGAGAAGCCGGCUUGACUGCGAGGCGGACAUGCCGAGCAGGUGCGAAAGCAGAACUUAGUGAGCCGACGGUACUUGCUAGAACAAGGCCGAAGAUUAACGGAUAAAAGCUACCCCGGGGAUAACAGGCUAGUUGCGUCCAAGCGUCCAUAGCGACGACGCAGUUCGGCACCUUAACACAUUGGGGUGCUAUGGCAGUGAUGCCAUACCUGGGAAUAUUUGGAGAAUAUUCCAAAAUAAAAAUCUCGCUUAUAUCGGUCCCUAAACCCCAAAAGGGUCGGGAUGCGAUCCGAUUUUAUAAAAUCGGAUUUAGCAUGAAGUCCUAUUGAGUUUUGAACCAAUUUUGAUAGGAUAAUACCGAGGGAAGUCCGACAUUGCGUCGGACCCCGUAGAGACUUUAAUCUGAAUUAUUCAGAUUAGGAUAUUUGCUUUUGAGCAAAAUAUAAUACGCGAGCCCCGCCAAAAUUAUUUAGGUGGGUGAAGAUAUAGUCCGAUCCUUCCGGUAACGGAAGACAAACACGAGAGCGAUGUCGGCUCAUCUUAGCGCGGGGGUGAAGAAGCUCCCAAGCGUAUGGCUGUUCGCCAUUUAAAAAGAUACGCGAGCUGGGUUCAAACCGUCGUAAGACAGGUUGGUCUCCUAUCUACUGCAGGCGUUGAUACUUGAAGGAAGUCGUCCCUAGUAGGGCUAAAUAGGCCCAAUGCUACUUCAGGAAGUAAUUCCUGAUGACAAAUUGGCUAAUAACGGUGGAAUCUUAGUUUAUGUUUCUGGCUGUGGACAACAUGAAUGGCGUCGGUCCGCGAUUCAUGAGAUAAUUGCUUGAGGACCAGAAAAUAAAUUAAGACAAUACCGUGGGAAGUCUCCAGCCCCAGUUUUAUUUAGUAGAAAUUUCUAUUGAUUAAAACUGGAGCUGGAUGACCCCGUAACGACUUGUUUCCGGCAAAUGCCGGAACGGAUGGCUACAAAAUUUACAGCCAUAAUACGCCAACAUCCCUCCCCAGUUUUAUAUCCGAGUACUUAAUUGUCCGACAAAUGCUAUGUGUAGCAUGGGUUAGAACUAGAACUAACUCUGAUAUAAAACUGGGGAGGGAUGAAGAUAUAGUCUACACCACUAGUGAUAGUGGAAAAUCCUAAACCGAAAUAUUCGGUCGGAUGUAUGUGACGAGAGGACCGGGAUGAACGAACCUCUGGUCUACCAGCUGUUCCGCCAGGAGCAAUGCUGGGUAGCUAUGUUCGGAAAGGAUAAGCGCUGAAAGCAUCUAAGCGCGAAGCCUCUCCUAAGAUUAGGUAUCUUAAGAUCCGUGAGAGAUUAUCACGUUGAUAGGCUUUAGGUGUAAGGCCCGUAAGGGUUUAAGCCGAGAAGUACUAAUAGAUCGUUUUACUCCCAC
rnacentral:rRNA from 1 species